rnacentral:rRNA from 1 species
GUCCAUGGCCAUGCUACCCUGAACAAGCCCAAUCCUGUCUGAUCUCGGAAGCUAAGCAGAAUUGGGCCUGGUUAGUACUUUUGAAUGGGAGACCACCUAGGAAGACCAGGUGCUGUAGGUA